GACGAACGCUGGCGGCGUGCCUAAUACAUGCAAGUAGAACGCUGAAGGAGGAGCUUGCUUCUCUGGAUGAGUUGCGAACGGGUGAGUAACGCGUAGGUAACCUGCCUGGUAGCGGGGGAUAACUAUUGGAAACGAUAGCUAAUACCGCAUAAGAGUAGAUGUUGCAUGACAUUUGCUUAAAAGGUGCAAUUGCAUCACUACCAGAUGGACCUGCGUUGUAUUAGCUAGUUGGUGGGGUAACGGCUCACCAAGGCGACGAUACAUAGCCGACCUGAGAGGGGGAUCGGCCAGACUGGGAGUGAGACACGGCCCAGACUCCUACGGGAGGCAGCAGUAGGGAAUCUUCGGCAAUGGACGGAAGUCUGACCGAGCAACGCCGCGUGAGUGAAGAAGGUUGUCGGAUCGUAAAGCUCUGUUGUAAGAGAAGAACGAGUGUGAGAGUGGAAAGUUCACACUGUGACGGUAGCUUACCAGAAAGGGACGGCUAACUACGUG
rnacentral:rRNA from 1 species